CGCACAUUGCGCCCACCAGCCAUUCUGGUGGGCAUGCCUGUUCGAGCGUCAUCUCAACCCUCAGGGGCACCCCUCCACUGGGAGGGUGCCGCCCCUGGUGCUGGGGAUCGUCCGCCCUCCGCGGCGGCCGGCCCCGAAAUCUAGUGGCGGUCCCGCCGCGACCUCCUCUGCGCAGUAGCGAUACCUCGCAGCUGGAAGGCGACGUGUCCACGCCGUGAAACCCCCCAACCUCUUUACGCGGUUGACCUCGAAUCAGGCAGGAAUACCCGCUGAACUUAA
rnacentral:misc_RNA from 1 species